rnacentral:rRNA from 1 species
UACGGAGGGGCUAGCGUUGUUCGGAAUUACUGGGCGUAAAGGGCGCGUAGGUGGUUAUGUAAGUGAGAUGUGAAAUCCCUGGGCUUAACCUAGGAACUGCAUCUGAGACUGCAAUGACGCUGGAGGUAUGAUGAGAGGUAGUGGAAUUUCGGUGUAGCGGUGAAAUGCGUAGAUAUGCGGAGGAACACCGAUGGCGAAGGCAAUCCCCUGGGCCUGCACUGACGCUCAUGCACGAAAGCGUGGGGAGCAAACAGG